AUUCCUACGGGAGGCAGCAGUGGGGAAUUUUGGACAAUGGGCGAAAGCCUGAUCCAGCAAUGCCGCGUGCAGGAUGAAGGCCUUAGGGUUGUAAACUGCUUUUGUACGGAACGAAACGGCUCCUCUUAAUACGGGGGGCUAAUGACGGUACCGUAAGAAUAAGCACCGGCUAACUACGUGCCAGCAGCCGCGGUAAUAAU
rnacentral:rRNA from 1 species